rnacentral:rRNA from 1 species
GACGAACGCUGGCGGCGUGCUUAACACAUGCAAGUCGAACGAUGAAGCUGGAGCUUGCUCCGGUGGAUUAGUGGCGAACGGGUGAGUAACACGUGAGCAAUCUGCCCUUGACUCUGGGAUAACUGCGGGAAACUGUAGCUAAUACCGGAUACGACACCUUGGGGCAUCCCAGGGCGUGGAAAGAAUUUCGGUCAAGGAUGAGCUCGCGGCCUAUCAGCUAGUUGGUGAGGUAAUGGCUCACCAAGGCGACGACGGGUAGCCGGCCUGAGAGGGUGACCGGCCACACUGGAACUGAGACAAGGUCCGGACUCCUACGGGAGGCAGCAGUGGGGAAGAUUGCACAAUGGGCGAAAGCCUGAUGCAGCAACGCCGCGUGAGGGAUGAAGGCCUUCGGGUUGUAAACCUCUUUUAGCAGGGAAGAAGCGAAAGUGACGGUACCUGCAGAAAAAGCACCGGCUAACUACGUGCCAGCAGCCGCCGUAA